UACGUAGGGUGCAAGCGUUGUCCGGAAUUAUUGGGCGUAAAGAGCUCGUAGGCGGUCUGUCGCGUCGGCUGUGAAAUCCCGGAGCUCAACUCCGGGUCUGCAGUCGAUACGGGCAAACUGGAGUACUGCAGGGGAGACUGGAAUUCCUGGUGUAGCGGUGAAAUGCGCAGAUAUCAGGAGGAACACCGGUGGCGAAGGCGGGACUCUGGGCCGAUACUGACGCUGAGGAGCGAAAGCGUGGGGGAGCAAACAGG
rnacentral:rRNA from 1 species